ACCUAGGCGACGAUCUGUACUUGGUCUGAGAGGAUGACCAGGCACACUGGAACUGAGACACGGUCCAGACUCCUACGGGAGGCAGCAGUGGGGAAUUUUCCGCAAUGGGCGCAAGCCUGACGGAGCAAUACCGCGUGAGGGAGGAAGGCUCUUGGGUUGUAAACCUCUUUUAUCAGGGAAGAAAAGAUGACGGUACCUGAUGAAUCAGCAUCGGCUAACUCCGUGCCAGCAGCCGCGGUAAUACGGGGGAUGCAAGCGUUAUCCGGAAUUAUUGGGCGUAAAGCGUCCGUAGGUGGUUUCACCAGUCUGUUGUCAAAGCGUGCGGCUCAACCGCAUACGGGCAAUGGAAACUGUGAGACUAGAGUGCGAUAGGGGUCACAGGAAUUCCCAGUGUAGCGGUGAAAUGCGUAGAUAUUGGGAAGAACACCAGCGGCGAAAGCGUGUGACUGGGUCUGCACUGACACUGAGGGACGAAAGCUAGGGGAGCGAAAGGGAUUAGAUACCCCUGUAGUCCUAGCCGUAAACGAUGACAACUAGGUGUGGUUCGUAUCGACCCGAGCCGUGCCGUAGCCAACGCGUUAAGUUGUCCGCCUGGGGAGUACGCACGCAAGUGUGAAACUCAAAGGAAUUGACGGGGGCCCGCACAAGCGGUGGAGUAUGUGGUUUAAUUCGAUGCAACGCGAAGAACCUUACCAAGGCUUGACAUCCUGCGAACUUUUCUGAAAGGAGAAGGUGCCUUCGGGAGCGCAGAGACAGGUGGUGCAUGGCUGUCGUCAGCUCGUGUCGUGAGAUGUUGGGUUAAGUCCCGCAACGAGCGCAACCCACGUUUUUAGUUGCCAGCAUUGAGUUGGGCACUCUAGAGAGACUGCCGGUGACAAACCGGAGGAAGGUGUGGAUGACGUCAAGUCAGCAUGCCCCUUACGC
rnacentral:rRNA from 1 species